rnacentral:rRNA from 1 species
CCUACGGGAGGCAGCAGUAGGGAAUCUUCCACAAUGGGCGAAAGCCUGAUGGAGCAACGCCGCGUGGGUGAAGAAGGUCUUCGGAUCGUAAAACCCUGUUGUUAGAGAAGAAAGUGCGUGAGAGUAACUGUUCACGUUUCGACGGUAUCUAAACAGAAAGCCACGGCUAACUCCGUGCCAGCAGCCGCGGUAAUACGUAGGUUGCAAGCGUUAUCCGGAUUUAUUGGGCGUAAAGGGCACGUAGGCGGUCUUUUAAGUCUGAUGUGAAAGCCUUCGGCUUAACCGGGGUAGUGCAUUGGAAACUGGGAGACUGGAGUGCAGAAGAGGAGAGUGGAACUCCAUGUGGAGCGGUGAAAUGCGUAGAUAUAUGGAAGAACACCAGUGGCGAAAGCGGCUCUCUGGUCUGUAACUGACGCUGAGGUUCGAAAGCGUGGGUAGCAAACAGGAUUAGAUACCCCUGUAGUC